CUGGCCUUGACAUCCACGGAAUUCGGCAGAGAUGCCUUAGUGCCUUCGGGAACAUUGAGACAGGUGCUGCAUGGCUGUCGUCAGCUCGUGUUGUGAAAUGUUGGGUUAAGUCCCGCAACGAGCGCAACCCUUAUCUUUUGUUGCCAGCGGUCCGGCCGGGAACUCAAAGGAGACUGCCAGUGAUAAACUGGAGGAAGGUGGGGAUGACGUCAAGUCAUCAUGGCCCUUACGACCAGGGCUACACACGUGCUACAAUGGCGCAUACAAAGAGAAGCGACCUCGCGAGAGCAAGCGGACCUCAUAAAGUGCGUCGUAGUCCGGAUUGGAGUCUGCAACUCGACUACGUGAAGCUGGAAUCGCUAGUAAUCGCGGAUCAGCAUGCCGCGGUGAAUACGUUCCC
rnacentral:rRNA from 1 species